CACACCUGUUCAGCCUCACAGGAUCUGUUCUGACUCUAAACUACCUGAGGAUGAGGAGCAUUCGUGCAAGAACUUUUUUCCACCAUUUUUUUAAUGUGUGUUGGCGCUGUUGAUUCCAGAAGCAACGUGGAGAAAUGUCAGCUCUUCGAUGCAGCAUGAAUGGAUUUUUGGAGAGCAUUCACAUGGAUUGCUUCCUCAUGGCCGCCUCCUCUGACUCCACCUUCCAUUUGAGGAACAUCAGAGAGAAAGCAGCCACUUUCAAGAUGUGCAGACACGCUUCCCUUGGACGGGACCCCAUCCCUGAGGGAGGCGUUGAGGUGGGAAUGCGGGCCCAGGCCCCCCCUUGGCCCCCGCUUCCUUGACCGCAAGCAGCUGGGUCCUUCUUUCGCCAGGAUUGUGGAAACAAACUGACGGCAGAGGUAAACAUCAAGGGGGGAAAACUACUCCUAAAAUUUCAAUGAUUGGGGAGGUCGUCUGUCUCCAUUCAAGGACAACUUGGUUCAUACAGUGGUGAAAGGAUAGCGACCCCUGCUGUCUGGGUUUGUCAUUGGCCCCAAUAACUGCACAACUGUUUUGUGGGAAUAACCAAGGUAAUAUACUGGAUGAGCAUCUUUUAAUUAUACACUGAGAAUAUAUAUUUUCAUUUGACGAUUCAUUUUUUUUUAAUUCAUAACUUGUUGGGUCAAUUUAAUCACUGUUGAACAGAAUUUCAUUGUUUGUCCAAAAUUUUAUCCAAAUCAAAGUUGUUUUUUUUUUUGCUCUAAAAUAAUGAAAUUACAUAACUGACCCAAUCAAUCACA